rnacentral:rRNA from 1 species
GACGAACGCUGGCGGCGUGCCUAAUACAUGCAAGUUGAGCGAUGAAGAUUGGUGCUUGCCCCAAUUUGAAGAGCAGCGAACGGGUGAGUAACGCGUGGGGAAUCUGCCUUUGAGCGGGGGACAACAUUUGGAAACGAAUGCUAAUACCGCAUAAUAACUUUAAACAUAAGUUUUAAGUUUGAAAGAUGCAAUUGCAUCACUCAAAGAUGAUCCCGCGUUGUAUUAGCUAGUUGGUGAGGUAAAGGCUCACCAAGGCGAUGAUACAUAGCCGACCUGAGAGGGUGAUCGGCCACAUUGGGACGGAGACACGGCCCAAACUCCUACGGGAGGCAGCAGUAGGGAAUCUUCGGCAAUGGACGAAAGUCUGACCGAGCAACGCCGCGUGAGGGAAGAAGGGUGUCGGAUCGUAAAACUCUGUUGGUAGAGAAGAACGUUGGUGAGAGUGGAAAGCUCAUCAAGUGACGGUAACUACCCAGAAAGGGACGGCUAACUACGUG